CCUACGUGAGGCAGCAGUGGGGAAUAUUGCGCAAUGGGCGAAAGCCUGACGCAGCGACGCCGCGUGAGGGAUGAAGGUCUUCGGAUCGUAAACCUCUGUCAGCAGGGAAGAACGGUCACUGUGCUAAUCAGCAGUGAAUUGACGGUACCUGCAAAGGAAGCACCGGCUAACUCCGUGCCAGCUGCCGCGGUAAUACGGAGGGUGCGGGAGUUAAUCGGAAGUACUGGGCGUAAAGCGCCCUUAGGCGGUAUGUCAAGUCAAGGGUGAAAUCCCCGCGCUCAACGUGGGAACUGCCUUUGAAACUGGAAAACUGGAGUGUGUGAGAGGAUAGUGGAAUUCCAGGUGUAGGAGUGAAAUCCGUAGAUAUCUGGAGGAACAUCAGUGGCGAAGGCGACUAUCUGGCACAUAACUGACGCUGAGGAGCGAAAGCGUGGGUAGCAAACAGGAUUAGAUACCCUGGUAGUC
rnacentral:rRNA from 1 species